CAGUCGCCGCGGUAAUACAGAGGGUGCGAGCGUUAAUCGGAUUUACUGGGCGUAAAGCGUGCGUAGGCGGCUUCUUAAGUCGGAUGUGAAAUCCCUGAGCUUAACUUAGGAAUUGCAUUCGAUACUGGGAAGCUAGAGUAUGGGAGAGGAUGGUAGAAUUCCAGGUGUAGCGGUGAAAUGCGUAGAGAUCUGGAGGAAUACCGAUGGCGAAGGCAGCCAUCUGGCCUAACACUGACGCUGAGGUACGAAAGCAUGGGGAGCAAACAGGAUUUGAUACCCCCGUAGUCCCUGUCUCUUAUAC
rnacentral:rRNA from 1 species